rnacentral:rRNA from 1 species
UUUGGUGAUUUGAGCGGCGGGGGGUACACUGGUUCCAUCCCGAACCCAGCAGUUAAGCCCGCUAGCGCCGAUGGUACUGGAGGGCGACUUCCUGGGAGAGUAGGUCAUUGCCAAAA